GACAGAGGUCCCGAGCGUUGUUCGGAUUCAUUGGGCGUAAAGGGUGUGUAGGAGGUCGGGUAAGUCAGGUGUGAAAUCUCACAGCUUAACUGUGAAACUGCGCUUGAUACUGCUCGGCUAGAGGAUCGGAGGGGGUAACGGAAUUUAUGGUGUAGCAGUGAAAUGCGUAGAUAUCAUAAGGAACACCGGUGGCGAAGGCGGUUACCUGGAAGAUUCCUGACGCUGAGGUGCGAAAGCCAGGGGAGCAAACGGG
rnacentral:rRNA from 1 species